rnacentral:tRNA from 1 species
GCUGUCGUAGCGCAGUGCUACAGUGUUUGGCUGUAAACGAAUUGACGUCGUGGGUUCGAUUCCCAUUCGGGGGAA